CUCUCUCUCUCUAUGUGUUAUACAAAAAGUUAUAACUCAAGAAAACAGAAUUGAAAAUAAGCAGAGCAUCUCUUGGUCCAAACUUUCCUGACGUGACAAGUCCACAGUACAUGAAUCAAAGUCAGAAUUAAACCAGGACAGGUGUAUAUAAAUUCAGAACUAGCUUGAAGUAUACGUGAUUCUGUCCCCUCUUUAUAUUGCUUUCAAAAUGUCGAAAUGUGUUUCAAAAGCAUGAACUAAAGAGUUUUGGUUUGUUUCAAGACUGUGGACUAUAAAGUUCUUGGCAUGUUUCUCGAAAGUUUAGGAAAGUAAGAAGUAAAGAUAUAUAAAACUAUAUAAAAGCAAGCAGUACAGAUAACUACUCAAUGAGUGUUAGUAUGCUAAAUAAGGCAAUUCACUAAACAAUGCCGUCUAAAAUUUUCAAAUCUUACCAACAAAUUUAAAAUUGUUUGAUGGUUAAAUAAGAACGAAAAAACAUUCCCUCCAAGAAACUUUUAAGUUUCCAUCUAUCCAAGGCUUAUCCAAAAAAAAAAGUUCAACAUAAGAUUACAAAAUUAGCCGAGAAAAAAGAAGGUUCCAACAAUUUCAAUACUUUUCUUUAAAAAAUAAAAACAAUCAAAUGUUAGUAAAAAAAAUAAUGAGUUAAGCCCCUUGGAUUUAGGGAAGUACAAACAGAAGCAUUAAAAAAAAAAUAAAAUGACUGUAUUUGAAAAACAAAGUAAUGCAUGGUUAGUUUUGACAUUCUGCCUUAUGGAUUGUGCAAUGUAAACAGGCCCAGUUGGUCAAUAUUUUAUGUAAACAGAACUCUAGAAACACAAACUUUUACAUCAAAACAACACAGAAAAAAACAAAAGGAUCUCACAAAACCUUAGUCUGAGAUAAAACAUUUUAUCUGGGGCACCCAACAAUUAAAACUGAACUACCGCUAUGUAACUACAAGUAUUUAGUUAUCAACCAUUUUCUCCAAAGACUCUAGUCCAACUGAAUGUCUCAUGAUGUAUAUCAUUUGUAAAAUAAAAUAUAGUAGUGUACAAAAAUUUCUUUAUAUACAUCUCAUGUAUAAACCAAAAAAAACUAGAAUAUCCCAAUGAUAAGGUGGAAGCAACUAAUGGAAUUCAAUUGACAUGAUAGAAAUAGCAAGACACUGACCAAUGUCAGAUUUUGAAUGACCACCAAUAAAGUCAGUAAGAAAUGAUGUAUAAAAACCGAUUACCAGAUAAAAGGUCUGAAUUAUUACAGACUAUACACUAUUGGUUAUAUAGAGAAGUAAUAUCAAUGUCUACUUACGCCCACACACACGACAUCAUCAUGUCUUGUUUAUAAUCUCACACACACGACAUCAUCAUGUCUUAUUUAUAAUCUCACACACACGACAUCAUCAUGUC